rnacentral:rRNA from 1 species
ACGGAAGGCAGCAGUGGGGGAUAUUGCACAAUGGGGGAAACCCUGAUGCAGCGACGCCGCGUGAGCGAAGAAGUUAUUCGUAAUGUAAAGCUCUAUCAGCAGGGAAGAAAAUGACGGUACCUGACUAAGAAGCUCCGGCUAAAUACGUGCCAGCAGCCGCGGUAAUACGUAGGGGGCGAGCGUUGUCCGGAAUGAUUGGGCGUAAAGGGCGCGUAGGCGGCCCGGUAAGUCUGAAGUGAAAGUCCUGGCUUCAAGUUGGGAAUUGCUUUGGAUACUGUCGGGCUUGAGUGCAGGAGAGGUUAGUGGAAUUCCCAGUGUAGCGGUGAAAUGCGUAGAGAUUGGGAGGAACACCAGUGGCGAAGGCGACUAACUGGACUGUAACUGACGCUGAGGCGCGAAAGUGUGGGGAGCAAACAGGAUUAGAUACCCUGGUA